rnacentral:pre_miRNA from 1 species
UUAGAUUUUCUUCAUUUUCUUUUGGAACUUUUCUGGGAUUCUUGUUGUUGACGGGUUGAUGGAGAUGAUAUGAAGAUGAAAAAGAGGAGAAG